rnacentral:misc_RNA from 1 species
AACGCAAAUUGCGCUCGAGGCCUCGGCUAAGAGCAUGUCUGGCUCAGCGUCGGCUUACUACCCUCAAUCAAUUACCUUGUGAUGAUUGGUUGGAGCUGGCUUUCCGGAGUUCCUAUCAGGUUGCCGGUCAGCUGAAAAACAUUCACGCUGUGGAAGUCGCUUUCCCUUCAAAAAGGAAAGCCGAGUUCCGAUUUGGUAGGUGACCUUUGCCGGUGGCAUGCCUUCGUUGGUCUUUUUGGCUUUCAUGAUAGCGUUUGCAAGACGCCAUUUUGGCUUUCGACCUGAACUCAGGCAAGAUCACCCGCUGAACUUAA